AACGAACGCUGGCGGCAGGCCUAACACAUGCAAGUCGAACGCAUCCUUCGGGGUGAGUGGCGCACGGGUGAGUAACACGUGGGAAUGUGCCCUUUGGUUCGGAAUAACGUCUGGAAACGGACGCUAAUACCGGAUGUCCCCUGUGGGGGAAAGAUUUAUCGCCAAAGGAGCAGCCCGCGUCUGAUUAGGUAGUUGGUGGGGUAACGGCCUACCAAGCCGACGAUCAGUAGCUGGUCUGAGAGGAUGAUCAGCCACACUGGGACUGAGACACGGCCCAGACUCCUACGGGAGGCAGCAGUGGGGAAUAUUGGACAAUGGGCGCAAGCCUGAUCCAGCCAUGCCGCGUGAGUGAUGAAGGCCUUCGGGUUGUAAAGCUCUUUCGCACGUGACGAUGAUGACGGUAACGUGAGAAGAAGCCCCGGCUAACUUCGUGCCAGCAGCCGCAGUAACAC
rnacentral:rRNA from 1 species